GAUGAACGCUGGCGGCGUGCCUAAUACAUGCAAGUCGAGCGAACGGACGAGAAGCUUGCUUCUCUGAUGUUAGCGGCGGACGGGUGAGUAACACGUGGAUAACCUACCUAUAAGACUGGGAUAACUUCGGGAAACCGGAGCUAAUACCGGAUAAUAUUUUGAACCGCAUGGUUCAAAAGUGAAAGACGGUCUUGCUGUCACUUAUAGAUGGAUCCGCGCUGCAUUAGCUAGUUGGUAAGGUAACGGCUUACCAAGGCAACGAUGCAUAGCCGACCUGAGAGGGUGAUCGGCCACACUGGAACUGAGACACGGUCCAGACUCCUACGGGAGGCAGCAGUAGGGAAUCUUCCGCAAUGGGCGAAAGCCUGACGGAGCAACGCCGCGUGAGUGAUGAAGGUCUUCGGAUCGUAAAACUCUGUUAUUAGGGAAGAACAUAUGUGUAAGUAACUGUGCACAUCUUGACGGUACCUAAUCAGAAAGCCACGGUUAACUACGUGCCAGCAGCCGCGGUAAUACGUAGGUGGCAAGCGUUAUCCCGGAUUAUUGGGCGUAAAGCGCGCGUAGGCGGUUUUUUAGUCUGAUGUGAAAGCCCACGGCUCAACCGUGGAGGGUCAUUGGAAACUGGAAAACUUGAGUGCAGAAGAGGAAAGUGGAAUUCCAUGUGUAGCGGUGAAAUGCGCAGAGAUAUGGAGGAACACCAGUGGCGAAGGCGACUUUCUGGUCUGUAACUGACGCUGAUGUGCGAAAGCGUGGGGAUCAAACAGGAUUAGAUACCCUGGUAGUCCACGCCGUAAACGAUGAGUGCUAAGUGUUAGGGGGUUUCCGCCCCUUAGUGCUGCAGCUAACGCAUUAAGCACUCCGCCUGGGGAGUACGACCGCAAGGUUGAAACUCAAAGGAAUUGACGGGGACCCGCACAAGCGGUGGAGCAUGUGGUUUAAUUCGAAGCAACGCGAAGAACCUUACCAAAUCUUGACAUCCUUUGACAACUCUAGAGAUAGAGCCUUCCCCUUCGGGGGACAAAGUGACAGGUGGUGCAUGGUUGUCGUCAGCUCGUGUCGUGAGAUGUUGGGUUAAGUCCCGCAACGAGCGCAACCCUUAAGCUUAGUUGCCAUCAUUAAGUUGGGCACUCUAAGUUGACUGCCGGUGACAAACCGGAGGAAGGUGGGGAUGACGUCAAAUCAUCAUGCCCCUUAUGAUUUGGGCUACACACGUGCUACAAUGGACAAUACAAAGGGCAGCGAAACCGCGAGGUCAAGCAAAUCCCAUAAAGUUGUUCUCAGUUCGGAUUGUAGUCUGCAACUCGACUACAUGAAGCUGGAAUCGCUAGUAAUCGUAGAUCAGCAUGCUACGGUGAAUACGUUCCCGGGUCU
rnacentral:rRNA from 1 species